rnacentral:rRNA from 1 species
UCAAGCGAACAAGUGCAUGUGGUGGAUGCCUUGGCGAUCACAGGCGAUGAAGGACGCGGUAGCCUGCGAAAAGCUACGGGGAGCUGGCAAACGAGCUUUGAUCCGUAGAUGUCCGAAUGGGGAAACCCGGCCCUUUUGGGUCAUCCUAGACUGAAUACAUAGGUCUAGUGAGGCGAACGCGGUGAACUGAAACAUCUAAGUAACCGCAGGAAAAGAAAUCAACCGAGAUUCCCAAAGUAGUGGCGAGCGAAAUGGGAAGAGCCUGUACUCUUUAUUUGUAUUGUUAGCCGAACGCUCUGGAAAGUGCGGCCAUAGCAGGUGAUAGCCCUGUAGGCGAAAACAGUAUGAAAGAACUAGGUGUACGACAAGUAGGGCGGGACACGUGAAAUCCUGUCUGAAGAUGGGGGGACCAUCCUCCAAGGCUAAAUACUCGUGAUCGACCGAUAGUGAACCAGUACCGUGAGGGAAAGGCGAAAAGAACCCCGGGAGGGGAGUGAAAUAGAUCCUGAAACCGCAUGCAUACAAACAGUCGGAGCCUCUUCGGGGGUGACGGCGUACCUUUUGUAUAAUGGGUCAGCGACUUACGUUCAGUAGCAAGCUUAACCGAAUAGGGCAGGCGUAGCGAAAGCGAGUCCGAAUAGGGCGUUCAGUUGCUGGGCGUAGACCCGAAACCAGGUGAUCUAUCCAUGGCCAGGAUGAAGGUGCGGUAACACGUACUGGAGGUCCGAACCCACUAACGUUGAAAAGUUAGGGGAUGAGCUGUGGAUAGGGGUGAAAGGCUAAACAAACCUGGAAAUAGCUGGUUCUCUCCGAAAACUAUUUAGGUAGUGCCUCGUGUCUCACCUUCGGGGGUAGAGCACUGUCAUGGUUGGGGGGUCUAUUGCAGAUUACCCCGCCAUAGCAAACUCCGAAUACCGAAGAGUGCAAUCACGGGAGACAGACAUCGGGUGCUAACGUCCGGUGUCAAGAGGGAAACAACCCAGACCGCCAGCUAAGGUCCCCAAAUAUGGCUAAGUGGGAAACGAAGUGGGAAGGCUAAAACAGUCAGGAGGUUGGCUUAGAAGCAGCCACCCUUUAAAGAAAGCGUAAUAGCUCACUGAUCGAGUCGUCCUGCGCGGAAGAUGUAACGGGGCUAAGCCAUAUACCGAAGCUGCGGAUGCGAGCUAGUCUCGCAUGGUAGGAGAGCGUUCCGUAAGCCUGCGAAGGUGCGUUGAAAAGCGUGCUGGAGGUAUCGGAAGUGCGAAUGCUGACAUGAGUAGCGAUAAAGGGGGUGAAAGGCCCCCUCGCCGUAAGCCCAAGGUUUCCUACGCAACGUUCAUCGGCGUAGGGUGAGUCGGCCCCUAAGGCGAGGCAGAAAUGCGUAGCUGAUGGGAAGCAGGUCAAUAUUCCUGCACCGUCGUUAGAUGCGAUGGGGGGGACGGAUCGCGGAAGGUUGUCCGGGUGUUGGAAGUCCCGGUCGCUGCAUUGGAGAAGGCGCUUAGGCAAAUCCGGGCGCAGGAUUCAAGGGUGUGGCGCGAGCUCCUUCGGGAGCGAAGCAAUUGGAAGUGGUUCCAAGAAAAGCCUCUAAGCUUCAGUCUAACGAUGACCGUACCGCAAACCGACACAGGUGGGCGAGAUGAGUAUUCUAAGGCGCUUGAGAGAACUCGGGAGAAGGAACUCGGCAAAUUGGUACCGUAACUUCGGGAUAAGGUACGCCCUGGUAGCUUGACUGGCCUGCGCCAGAAGGGUGAAGGGGUUGCAAUAAACUGGUGGCUGCGACUGUUUAAUAAAAACACAGCACUCUGCAAACACGAAAGUGGACGUAUAGGGUGUGACGCCUGCCCGGUGCCGGAAGAUUAAAUGAUGGGGUGCAAGCUCUUGAUUGAAGUCCCGGUAAACGGCGGCCGUAACUAUAACGGUCCUAAGGUAGCGAAAUUCCUUGUCGGGUAAGUUCCGACCUGCACGAAUGGCGUAACGAUGGCCACACUGUCUCCUCCCGAGACUCAGCGAAGUUGAAGUGUUUGUGAUGAUGCAAUCUACCCGCGGCUAGACGGAAAGACCCCAUGAACCUUUACUGUAGCUUUGCAUUGGACUUUGAACCGAUCUGUGUAGGAUAGGUGGGAGGCUAUGAAACCGGAACGCUAGUUUCGGUGGAGCCGUCCUUGAAAUACCACCCUGGUUUGUUUGAGGUUCUAACCUUGGCCCGUGAUCCGGGUCGGGGACAGUGCGCAUGGUAG